GCAUAACGCGAAGAACCUUACCAAGGCUUGACAUCCCUUGACCGGCGACAGAGAUGUGCCCUCCUCCUUCGGGUAGGCAAGGGUGGACAGGUGGCGGCAUGGUUGUCGUCAGCUCGUGUCGUGAGAUGUUGGGUUAAGUCCCGCAACGAGCGCAACCCUUAUCCUUAGUUGCCAGCACAUAAUGGUGGGCACUCUAGGGAGACUGCCGAUGAUAAAUCGGAGGAAGGUGGGGAUGACGUCAAAUCAUCAUGCCCCUUAUGUCUUGGGCUACACACGUGCUACAAUGGUCGGUACAACGGGAAGCGAAAGAGUGAUCUGGAGCAAAUCCCAAUAAACCGAUCUCAGUUCGGAUUGUAGGCUGCAACUCGCCUACAUGAAGUCGGAGUUGCUAGUAAUCGCGAAUCAGAACGUCGCGGUGAAUGCGUUCCCGGGUCUUGUACACACCGAGUCGUGGGGAGGGCAAGGGCACACAGGGGGGGAUA
rnacentral:rRNA from 1 species